rnacentral:rRNA from 1 species
GGUCCCGCCUGCCCUGUGACCCCUGGUUCAACGGCCGCGGUAUUUUGACCGUGCAAAGGUAGCGCAAUCACUUGUCUCUUAAAUGAGGACCUGUAUGAAUGGCAUAACGAGGGCUUAACUGUCUCCUUUCCCCGGUCAAUGAAAUUGAUCUUCCCGUGCAGAAGCGGGAAUCCUAACAUAAGACGAGAAGACCCUAUGGAGCUUUAGACUUUAGGACAGAUCAUGUAAGCUACCUCCGUAAAAUAGGUAAUAACUAUUGAACCCCUGUUCCCCUGUCUUCGGUUGGGGCGACCACGGGGAAUAAAAAAACCCCCACGUGGACCAGGAGCACACACUCCUACAACCAUGAGCCACAGCUCUAAUGCACAAAACAUUUGACCAUUAGAUCCGGCAAAGCCGAUCAACGGACCAAGUUACCCUAGGGAUAACAGCGCAAUCCCCUUUAAGAGUCCAUAUCGACAAGGGGGUUUACGACCUCGAUGUUGGAUCAAGACAUCCUAAUGGUGCAGCCGCUAUUAAGGGUUCGUUUGUUCAACGAUUAAAGUCUU